GUGUGUGUGUGUGUGUGUGUGUGUGUGUGUGUGUGUGUGUGUGUGUGUGUGUGUGUGUGUGUGUGUGUGUGUGAGGGUGGUGAGUGCCACGGGCGGAUGGCGUGAGAACAAGGGUGCAUGUGCGCGGGCACGCUCGCGUGGCCGUGGAGUGUGGGUGUGGGCGCACACCAGCCCUCGUGGCGCCGGAGGUGAUGGGUGUGCGCACGCGUGCACUCCUUGCGGUGGCGGGAGGGGCCCUGACUGUGUGUGUAGGUGUAUAUAUCUGCAUUUGGGUAUAUGACGUGAGUUCAGAGGUCAGAGGCAUUGGAUCCCCUGGAGCUGGAAUUAUAGACUCUUCUCAGACACCUGACAUGGAUGCUGGGAACCUAACUCGGGUCCUCCGGAAGAGCAGCAAGUGGUCUUAAUUGCUGGGCCAUCUCUCCAGCCACAAUGGUGAAAGGUUUUUAGAACAGUUCAACUGUAUUUCCUAGGCAAACCAGAAGCAUCAUUAUCACCUGGUAGUGGUGGUGCACACCUUUAAUCCCAGCAUUCAGGAGGCAGAGGCAGCCAGAUCUCUGUGAAUUCGAGGCUAGCCUGGUCUACAGAGCAAGUUCCAGGACAACCAAGGCUACACAGAGAAACCCUUUUUCAAAAAUAAAGUCAGAUCACUUCAAAGAACUCCCUGUACCAGGCCCAUGCGUCCCUGUGACACAGAGUGACACACCAACCCGCUCUGUUCUGACCUUUCUUCUACCCUUACCUGAAUCCUGUGGAAGAAGAUAGGGAAGCACAAAGGGGGAAAGAAACAACCCCAAAUAUGGCUCUAACUCGUGCAACUACUACCUGAGGUAGGUUGAGUUCUCGAAAUAUCUAGAAAGGCACACCCACUACAUGCCCAUUUCCUCCUCAGGAACUUUGAAGCCUGCAUCAUCCAGGACAAAGUGGCAUGGCACCAGUAUUUGCUUGCCAAGGAGAAAGUCAGAAGGUCCUGGAAAAGAAAGAGACUUUGGAGAAAAAGAAGAAAGAAAACCAUGGGAGAGAGAGAAGUGCCAAAUAAAGGGCAGGCUCUGAAUGGAAGUGGACAAGAUGAAGAUGACAAGCCGAGAAUCCAGGAGUCUAAAUAUUCUUCACAGAGGACCCCCAGCAAUGACAGAAAGUCGUUCUGGCCUCGGGCCCAUGGAUGAACGAUGAGAAAUGGCAGAGAGAGGUUUGCUGGGUCGAUUUUACAGAAGAAGAACCAGAGGCAAGCAAGGUAUCUCAGAAGGAAUUGAAAAAUGAGAGGGCCCAUGUAGGUUGACACCUUCGUAUAGAGGACCUUGGCCGACUUCACCUCUCUAGGCACUGUCCUAUGUAUAUGCCUGAAGCUGUCCUCUCAUUCUCUGUAAUCAUUAUCGGUACUCAUGGAGAAUCGGAGUUCCAAACUGGCAUAUAUACGGGCAUCUUCAAUGUCUUAAUUCUGGGAGAGGAAGGUAAAGCGACUUUAGGGACUGCAAGAAGAAAUUUGGACAGAGGAUGCACCCUUCAGGAUGCUUGAAUCUGAAGAUGUGCAGCUGAUGGAUGCGGAGGACUGACUGUAUGGAGAUUAGGAUAUGGGGGACCAGUGCGGUGGAGGCGAAGUGACUUCUCCAGGAGCCUAUAGCUGGUGAAUGCUUACAGAUCAGAUAUAAGCACCCAGCUACUGUUCUAGUGUCAUGCUUGUCUGCCUGUUGCCAUGCUCCCCACCAUGAUGAUCAUGGAAUCACCCUCUGAAACUGUAAGCAAGCCUCCAAUGAAAUGCUUUGGAGAUGGUGUCUCUUCACAGUAAUAGAAAGAAACAAGCUCGGAAAUGACAGCUGAAUACCCAGGACUUAUAAAGAGGACUUUUGGCCCCUAACGACUCCUCAAGUAUAUGUGGAGGUCUAAGACCACCAGAGCCUGGCUUAUGGGAACACCAACUGGUCAGCUCUAGUGUAUUGCCUAGGAGAGAUGCAGAGUCUACUCUCUCGUGUGCUGCAGCUGUGAGGAGCAUGCACUUGUUGGAAUUUGCAAUCCCACCUUCCUGUAUACAGACAGCUGAGAGCACCUGGAAGGGGAAGCUCUGAGGAUCAAGGGCUGUGGCCUCUGAUGAGUACCCGGCAUUUCUGAGGAUUCACCAGGGCCCAGCACUGGCUGCGUUAGACAUGUCUUCAGGAAUCUUUGCGAUAGGUGCUACUGUGUCCUUCUUACAGAAGAGGAGACUGAGGCUUUGGCAAAGUAAAUGGCUUGUCACCUUCCCACACUCAGAGGACCCAGAACUGGACUGUGAUCCUCAUGUCGUAGCCUCAUGUCAUAUCCUCAUGUCGUAUCCAUAGCACUCACGAUCAGAAGCCCUUUCCAAGUCUGUGCUGUCUGCUAUGGAAGGAGAGGACUUGGGCGAAGGGAGGCCAGCCAUGGUCCUGGAUUCAGACAGCCAGUUAAUGCUAGAGCUGGAGUCAGCCAUUAAGUCCCCUUCCCCUCUACCGCUCCUCUCCAUCUCAUGACCCCAGUGUCUCUAACUACACUAGUGAUAGCUUGUCCUGUGUCUCCAGCCACAUAGAAUUGGCACCCAAUUUAGACAGGGCACUGAGGUCUCUUAAGUCCUAGUGCUAGAUCAACUGUGAGUGCUCAGGACUCAGAAGACUCUGGGCCUGAGAGUCCAUGGUGAGAGCACGCCUUCUAGGUUGGACCAAAGUAGAAGGAUAUCAGCCCUCACCACCACCAUGGUAACCCCACAGUCCCUCUGUGGCUGCCAUCUUCCAGGGGUUCCUUGCAGCCUUCCUUUCGUGCUGAGGUUACAGCUGCCAGCCCUGCUGCCAUCUGCCUUCCUCUUAGGCUUCCCCUCUGGCUAACUGCAGGGGCUGGAUGGAGUUGGUCACCCCUACCCCGGGCUUUUAAUGAGAGGUAUUUGGUUAUGCCCAGGGAGCAAAAAUGAAUAAUUCAGCAAAGGAAGCCCAGGAAUGGUAGUGUUUCAGAGCAGAUUCCCUUGACAGGGGGAGAAGCAGAGAACCACUGCAUCUUCUGGGGGUGGGGUGACAGCAGCAGCAGGAGGAGGGAGCAGGAGGAGGGAGCAGGAGGAGGGAGCAGGAGGAGGGAGCAGGAGGAGGGCUACACAGGAAUCACUAGCAGAAAUCGAAGAGAUCCUUGUCAAAAUCUCUUUGCCAUUUUGGAGGAGGAGGAAUCUGGUGAAAAGGAGUGGAAUGUAGUACAUACGGAGCUGAGAUGCUGUUUAUUAAGAAAGGAACGUGGAUUUGUGGUGAGCCAGAGAAAAACCAGAAAUGAGAGAUAAGAAGGAGGAGCAGGAAUGCAUCCAGAGCUCAACAUUGGAGUUUACCGAGAAUUUCCAGCUGACAAUGGAACCGCUGAUCCCUGACCAGAUGGAAGGCCACUUGAUGUCUAGCUGAACCCUUCAAAGUCCUUUCUUUUUGCCCGGUUAUCAUGAAGAGAGGACGACCACUCGGAACCCCAGAAAGUCAGUUUCUCCAAGUACAGUUUUCGGGGAAAGAUCCAGUCCCCCUAAAGCCUCCACCAGCCAUCUCUCUGUUGUCCCUUUUAUGAAAACUGGAGGUUGAACGGCUUCUAACACCAAGAUAGCCCUGGGAAAGCUGCUUCUGUGUCCCCUAUUACUCAAAUGGAAAAGGCUAAAAUGUGUUCCUUAGAGUUGGGUCCCCAUGAAGGCUGCUGGUGCCCUCUGGAGGAAGUUUUGGGCAUUGCAGAAGCACGGCGGGAAUGGAGAACAUUUUCUUCAGCUCACUUAUGAGACCCAGUGAAAACAGAGUCACAGAAAUAGGGCCGUGAAUAGAAGGAAGAGCCUGCAACUGUACUUCUAUGGCAGGCGGAGUCUUUGUCUGGAGGGCAUGCCUGGGAAGGCACCGGCUGAACGCCCUCGACAGUCAGUCAUGGCCGCAGUCUGCUCCGCUCUGAGAAGCCACUACUUCACUGUUCUGCAAGAG